AUGGGGGCGCCGCCGUGGAGGCUGCUGUGCUGCUGCUGCUGCCGCGAGUCCGAUCGCAACGGGGUGGACGACCUCAAGCUCAAGCCCGACGCCGCCGAUGGGGAGGAGGGGGCGGCGGGGGACCGGUACGACCUCCCGCCAUUCCAGGACUUCACCUUCCAGCAGCUGCGCCUCGCCACCUCGGGCUUCACCGCCGAGAACAUCAUCUCCGAAAGCGGCGACAAGGCGCCUAACGUCGUCUACAAGGGCAAGCUCGACGCCCAGCGCCGUAUCGCCGUCAAGCGCUUCAGCCGCUCUGCCUGGCCCGACCCGCGCCAGUUCAUGGAAGAAGCGAAGUCUGUUGGCCAGCUCCGGAACAAAAGAAUCGUAAAUUUGCUUGGUUGUUGCUGUGAAGCCGAUGAAAGAUUACUUGUUGCUGAGUACAUGCCCAACGACACACUGGCGAAGCAUCUGUUCCAUUGGGAGUCACAGGCAAUGGUAUGGCCCAUGAGAUUACGGGUUGUUCUGUAUCUUGCCGAGGCUUUAGACUACUGCAUAAGCAAGGAGCGGGCUCUCUAUCAUGAUCUUAAUGCCUAUAGAGUUCUGUUUGAUGAUGACUGCAACCCUAGGCUUUCAUGUUUCGGCCUAAUGAAGAACAGUCGGGAUGGCAAAAGUUACAGCACCAAUUUGGCAUUCACUCCUCCUGAAUAUAUGAGGACUGGAACAAUAACUCCGGAAAGUGUCAUAUACAGCUUUGGCACAUUGUUGUUGGAUGUUCUUAGUGGGAAGCAUAUUCCUCCUAGCCAUGCUCUUGACCUGAUUCGUGAUCGAAACUUCAGUAUGCUCAUAGACUCCUGUUUAGAGGGCCAAUUUUCGAACGAGGAAGGAACAGACCUGAUGCGUUUAGCUUCAAGGUGCCUGCAUUAUGAACCACGAGAGCGGCCUAAUGUAAGAUCUUUGGUUCUUGCACUGGCUUCUCUUCAGAAGGACGUUGAGUCCCAAUCUUAUGAUCUGAUGGAUAAGCCCCGUGGUGGUGCAUUUACUCUUCAAUCAAUUCAUCUUUCUCCUCUUGCUGAAGCUUGCUCCAGAAAGGAUCUUACUGCAAUACAUGAACAUCUAGAAACCGCUGGCUAUAAAGAUGACGAGGGAACAGCAAAUGAGCUCUCAUUUCAGAUGUGGACUAAUCAAAUGCAAGCUACAAUUGAUUCAAAGAAGAAGGGCGACACUGCAUUUCGACAAAAGGAUUUUAGCAUGGCCAUUGAUUGCUACUCUCAGUUCAUUGAUGUUGGUACCAUGGUUUCACCAACAAUUUAUGCGAGGCGUUGCUUGUCGUAUCUCAUGAAUGACAUGCCACAAGAAGCUCUGGAUGAUGCAGUGCAGGCUCUGGCGAUAUUUCCUACAUGGCCAACUACAUUUUAUCUUCAGGCUGCGGCCCUAUUUUCAUUAGGAAAAGAAAACGAAGCUCGAGAAGCACUCAAGGAUGGUUCGGCUGUGGAGACAAGGAGUAAGGGGCAUUGA
rnacentral:rRNA from 1 species